AUACGGAGGAUCCGAGCGUUAUCCGGAUUUAUUGGGUUUAAAGGGUGCGCAGGCGGCCAUCUAAGUCAGCGGUUAAAUCGUGGGGCUCAACCCCGUUCUGCCGUUGAUACUGGGUGGCUUGAUUGCGGUCGAGGUUGGCGGAAUUCGUUGUGUAGCGGUGAAAUGCAUAGAUAUGACGAAGAACACCGAUUGCGUAGGCAGCUGACCAGACCGCAAAUGACGCUCAUGCACGAAAGUGCGGGGAUCGAACAGGAUUAGAUACCCUGGUAGUCCGCACAGUAAACGAUGAAUACUUGUUUUCGGCGAUAUAAUGUCGGAGGCAAAGCGAAAGCGAUAAGUAUUCCCCCUGGGGAGUACGCCGGCAACGGUGAAACUCAAAUGAAUUGGCGGGG
rnacentral:rRNA from 1 species